rnacentral:rRNA from 1 species
AUUAGUUUUUUAAUUGAAGGCUAGAAUGAAUGGUUGGACAAGAAAUAAUCUGUCUUAAUUAAAUAAAUUGAAUUUAACUUUUAAGUGAAAAGGCUUAAAUAAUCUAAAGGGACGAUAAGACCCUAUAAAACUUUAUAUUUAAUGAUAGUAAUUAAUUUUAUUUUAAGAGUAUUAUUUGAAAGUAUUUGGUUGGGGUGACAAGGAUAAAAUAUAAAAUAACUGUCUUUUUUUAUUACAAUAAUAUUUGGUUUAAUGAUCCUAAAAUGGAUUAAAGAUUAAGUUACUUUAGGGAUAACAGCGUAAUUUUCUUUAAGAGUUCUUAUCGACAAGAAAGUUUGCGACCUCGAUGUUGAAUUAAAAGUUCUUUAU